AAUUGAACUCGCUGUGAAGAUGCAGUGUACCCGCGGCAAGACGGAAAGACCCCGUGAACCUUUACUAUAGCUUGACACUGAACAUUGAGCCUUGAUGUGUAGGAUAGGUGGGAGGCUUUGAAGUGUGGACGCCAGUCUGCAUGGAGCCGGCCUUGAAAUACCACCCUUUAAUGUUUGAUGUUCUAACGUGGACCCGUGAUCCGGGUUGCGGACAGUGUCUGGUGGGUAGUUUGACUGGGGCGGUCUCCUCCUAAAGAGUAACGGAGGAGCACGAAGGUUGGCUAAUCCUGGUCGGACAUCAGGAGGUUAGUGCAAUGGCAUAAGCCAGCUUGACUGCGAGCGUGACGGCGCGAGCAGGUGCGAAAGCAGGUCAUAGUGAUCCGGUGGUUCUGAAUGGAAGGGCCAUCGCUCAACGGAUAAAAGGUACUCCGGGGAUAACAGGCUGAUACCGCCCAAGAGUUCAUAUCGACGGCGGUGUUUGGCACCUCGAUGUCGGCUCAUCACAUCCUGGGGCUGAAGUAGGUCCCAAGGGUAUGGCUGUUCGCCAUUUAAAGUGGUACGCGAGCUGGGUUUAGAACGUCGUGAGACAGUUCGGUCCCUAUCUGCCGUGGGCGCUGGAGAACUGAGGGGGGCUGCUCCUAGUACGAGAGGACCGGAGUGGACGCAUCACUGGUGUUCGGGUUGUCAUGCCAAUGGCACUGCCCGGUAGCUAAAUGCGGAAGAGAUAAGUGCUGAAAGCAUCUAAGCACGAAACUUGCCCCGAGAUGAGUUCUCCCUGAGACUUAGAGUCUCCUGAAGGAACGUUGAAGACGACGACGUUGAUAGGCCGGGUGUGUAAGCGCAGCGAUGCGUUGAGCUAACCGGUACUAAUGAACCGUGAGGCUUAACCUUACA
rnacentral:rRNA from 1 species